GAGACACCCCUAUGGAGCAGGACUUGCUUCAGUGGGGCUUUGGUGCUCACUAAGUCUGUGUCUUGAGUGUGUCUCU
rfam:Myotis lucifugus cont2.2869, whole genome shotgun sequence.